CGCACAUUGCGCCCGCCAGUAUUCUGGCGGGCAUGCCUGUUCGAGCGUCAUUUCAACCCUCAAGCCCCCCGGGCUUGGUGUUGGGGAUCGGCACAAGGCCGCGCUGGCACCUUCGGGAGCCGCGUGCCCGCCGUCCCUCAAAUCCAGUGGCGGUUCGCGCCGCGUGUACCUCAGCGUAGUAGCAACACCUCGCUCCGGAACCCUUCUGCGAACCACGCCGUAAAACCCCCGACUUUUUUUUUAUAAGUUGACCUCGAAUCAGGUAGGACUACCCGCUGAACUUAA
rnacentral:misc_RNA from 1 species